ensembl:lncRNA
GUGUCUUAGGGCUAUUUUUGGUCCCUUUUUGGUUUUUUUUGUAUGAAAGCUGAUUUUUCUAGUCUUGCAAUACCAACAAAAAAGGAAUGUAAAUGGCACUUGCAGUGCUGUCACAUUGACCCUCAUUGUUUAUAUGUGCUGUAUUUUUAGAGGCAAUGAACUGAUGUCAUCAGUCUGUUGCUUUUUGAAGUUGUUUGAUGUUUUGUGGUUUACAGUGAUGAGACCUGCAAAUAAUGAUGUGUGCCCUGUAGUCAUAGUAACACUGAAAAUUUUCCAGGUAUACCCUCUAAGUUUCUUUGUUACUGAACUACAGACAUAUUUAAAAACUACCAAAAAAAAGCCUUUCUGUGGAAAAACACAUACCAAAGAAACAUGUGUGUGAAAUUCUGGGACUUGCUGUAAGUGUAGAUGAAUUCUUCUGGAAUCACUUGGACCAUACAUUAUCAUAUAUAGCUGUCAUACAAAAAUGAUAGAGCUGUUCUUCACAAAAUUCUUUUUUUAUGACGAAUGACAAGCAAAGUUUUUUUCUAGAUUGUGGAGAUUAUUUGGGAUAAAGAAAUGGAAAGGCAUGAGGGAAGCUCCAUGUUCUGGAGGGAAUGCUUUAGGCACCCCAUGCAGCUUCUGAACUGCACCCAUAGUCUCCUCUCCCACAGAAACCUUCCAAAGCUGGAAGGGACAGGGAAGAAAAUUCCAAGAGUGGUGUGGGAAGUGCUUUCUCAUAGGUCUGGACAGUGCUGAGGUUGGAACGAGUUAUAAAUAUUCCUUGUGCCUCUCAUGUUGCCAGCCCAGGACUAAGUCUCCCUGAGCAGCUGCAGUUCCCUGCCUGUGGAGGGAGCAAGCCUGUGCUGGAGAGUGGGAGAAAGGUCCCUGCUGGUUGCUGUGUCCUCGGUGGGCAGAGAACUCUGACCUUGGUUGGGCUGGGAGGCCUGGCCAUUUCACUGGGACUGCUCACCCUGGGAGCACCGGUCUCUACCUUGGGAGGAAGCAAGCUGCCACCAGAAUAAAAGCAGGAUGGAGCUGCUCCCACUCCAAGGCAAGAGCCUGCAGGGCCCAUCCUUUGGGGACUCAUCUUUUGUGUGAAGGCACAUUGUCUAGCAGAGGAAGAGGUUGGUACCUGGUGGAGCAGGGUCAAGAUUCCAUUUUCCCCAGGCAGCUCCCCCUGCAUGCUGUAGCGCUGGCCAGGGCUGGGAGAGGAGGGGGAGUGUGUUCAGCACUGCUGCUGGAACGGAGUGGGCCUCUCAGGAGGAUCCCGGUUGCUUCAGGGCCUUGCUUUUCCACUGGUUUGUGUCCACAAAGGAAAGGCAUGCAGAAGGCAGCACCAUCACCCCAGCCCUGCAGUCAGGAGUCCAUCAGCUUUCCCCACAGUGAACGUGGUUAAGGUCUCCUUAACCAAAGGAAAACUCAGCACCACUACAGAUGUACAGAACAGCAAUUUAUCCACUGGGGCCCUCCGACACACUUUGCCCAUUAUGUGUCCAGAAGACUCCAAGUACUGACUUUACACGUCCACAAGCAUGGCCAAAGCCACACAUACAGAGCAACACCAAGUUCUCACGGUGUACCAAGAGAAACAAAGAUUUAAUAACAGUAUUUCUUAGACAACUGUUGGGGAUGAAGUCAAAUGUAAAGAAAAAAAUGGAAAUGUAAAAAAUGAUGGACGUUAGUGCACACGGAUACAGAGUUUCUGCUUUUGAGCACCGCAGAUGCCUGGGGAGGGAGUGAGCAGGGCACUGUCUGUAAAUAGCAGGGAGGGGUGAAAGAGCGUUAAGUGUGUAAAGUGACACGGCCGGGCUUGAGCGGGGACACGGCCUUAAGGAAAUAAUUCCUUUUUUUGUCACUGCUGCACUGAAUUUCAUAGGCGUGUGGCUAGAUGCCUAAUAUAUUUAAAGCAGGUUUUAUUCUUACUGGUGUUUUGCACACUGAAGUGUCUGCCCAGGUUUUGUUUCCAAAAGUGAGGUAUAGUGCUGGGUGUUUAAUUUGGUAUGUUACUUCUUCUGUUGCGUAAAUAACUGCAGCUCCCUCCCUGUGCCUGUGUAUUGCAGGGGCAGGCGAGCGCUGGUUAUAAAGGUGGUGAUAAUUAGGAAUAACCUAUUAAAGCUGGGAUAAAAGGUUCGAAAUCAUUGCUUAGGGUACUGCAUAGAUGUACCAGAAGUAACUACAUCCUGGAAGUGCUGUGUGUCUGAAACUGUUUCCACCUACUCAUUUUUAGCUCCUUUUUCUGACUCUGCUCCUAUUCCGACAGACCCGUCUGAGCCUGGCGUUCGCUAAACGCCUCUGCGUGGUGGGAGACGAGUCUAGGAAGAAAUACCUUCAUUCCACCGACGAGGCAGAAAGGACUCAGCUCAAGGAAUACUGCACACAGAUGAAGGUAAAGUCCU